rnacentral:rRNA from 1 species
CCUACGGGAGGCAGCAGUGGGGAAUCUUGCGCAAUGGGCGAAAGCCUGACGCAGCGACGCCGCGUGGGGGAUGAAGGCCCUCGGGUUGUAAACCCCUUUCAGCAGGGACGAAGCGAAAGUGACGGUACCUGCAGAAGAAGCUCCGGCUAACUACGCGCCAGCAGCCGCGGUAAGACGUAGGGAGCGAGCGUUGUCCGGAUUCAUUGGGCGUAAAGCGCGCGCAGGCGGCCCGGAAAGUCGGAUGUGAAAACCCGGGGCUCAACCCCGGGCCUGCAUCCGAUACUACCGGGCUCGAGGCAGGUAGGGGAGAUCGGAAUUCCUGGUGUAGCGGUGAAAUGCGCAGAUAUCAGGAGGAACACCGGUGGCGAAGGCGGAUCUCUGGGCCUGUCCUGACGCUCAGGCGCGAAAGCUAGGGGAGCGAACAGGAUUAGAUCCCCGGGUAGU